rnacentral:tRNA from 1 species
GGAGAGGUGCCGGAGCCAGGUUGAACGGGACGUCCUGCUAAGACGUUGACCGCCGAAAUGCGGUCCGUGGGUUCAAAUCCCACCCUCUCCGCCA